CACGUAGGGCGCAAGUGUUGUCCGGAAUUAUUGGGCGUAAAGAGCUCGUAGGCGGUCUGUUGCGUCCGCUGUGAAAACUCGGGGCUUAACCCCGAGCCUGCAGUGGAUACGGGCAGACUAGAGGUAGGUAGGGGAGAAUGGAAUUCCCGGUGUAGCGGUGAAAUGCGCAGAUAUCGGGAGGAACACCGGUGGCGAAGGCGGUUCUCUGGGCCUUACCUGACGCUGAGGAGCGAAAGCGUGGGGAGCGAACAGG
rnacentral:rRNA from 1 species